CUAAAUGAAAUGUAUUUGCUUUGCUGCUUCACUUACGAUAGCAGCAGAUUUCCAAGCCAAACAGAUUUUUUUUUUUCCUCUUUUCAGCGGACGCACGGUUUCUUUGUUUCACCAGGAUCCAUUCCAUCUGGGGGUUCUCCCCACUCCCAGCCACCACCACGGAGACCUGGGAUGUCAGUGUGCUAGGCUGGGACCUGCAGGGAUCGCUGUCAUCUCCCGGUUCCUGCUCCUGCUCUGCCCGUUCCUGUUCCCUGUGGGAAGGCUGAGGGGUAACAAGUCAGUCCUGUGCUGUCAGCUGGUGUCACCAUGAGGAUGUGAUAGGAGAAGGGUUGGACCUGCAGGACCCUGUGCUGUGUGCACGACCAUGGAGGAUGUCCUCACCACUGACAUGGUCCCAGGUGAGGAGGAUGGCUUCUGUCACAGCUGUGCAGCACCCAGCACAACAGGAAUAGGGAAUAAUGUCCACAAAAGGAACAGAGCCGGACCUUGCCUGGUGCAGCCACACUGGGGCCUGUCAGAGUUAUCAAAGCUCCCAGAAACGUUGCUCUUAGUACUAGCAGUGUGUAUGUCACUCUUCCUUCAGCAAAGGGAAGCUCAAAGGAAGGCAGCGGGCUUGCUGCUUGUCCCAGUGCAACACCGUGCAGCUCCGGUACUGGUAAGACUCCAUCUGCUCUGUUGGUUUCCUGCUCUGAUUUUUUUUUUUUCCAAAGCUUUUCUCUUUCCCGGAGAAAAAACAUGUGGAUGUGAAGUUUGA
rnacentral:lncRNA from 1 species